CAGAAAAGCCGUUGCUUUUGAUCUGAUGCUGUAUAUGUACACCGAUUUCUGAUGGCCAUGAUUUGAUUUAUUUUCCAAAGGAAAAUAAAGGAAAGAAAAUUCAACAGUUCCGCCUCCGUCUCCCUGAUGCUUGACCAUCGUUACAUGUGUCAGCUGUAUUAUUGGUAACUUUGCGUGGGAAAAGGGUGGUGGCGGCGAUUCUCAUGACAUAUCCGUGGACAAUGGUAUCUUGCCAUGCAGCUCCAACCCAGUGAUGCAAGAAGAAGAGGUUUCACCCUCCAGCUUGCAGGCCUAUGCUAUUAUGGUCUGUGACCCUCCAAUCAGUGCCUUGCGGCUGCGGCAGCGACACCAAUCAGGAUCCAGGAAAAUAUGUAAGCAGGAAGUAUGUAAACACAUGGCCCUGCGCGUUGUGGAUUAUCAUGCCUGCCUACCUGUCAUUAAUUAGCCAUGGAUAUCAGGCGAUUUUUGAAGAGACCUUCGAGUGCUCCCACUCCAACAGAUGCCCGAAAAAGGCCUCAAGUACUAAGUUUGCAGUGGAGACUCAUUUGUCACAUAUUUAAAGAACAGCUCCUCUGUAUGCAGCUCCACCAUGGUGUCACAAGACACAAAGUUUGCCAAAGAAGCCAAGUUAAGCUUGGUAAACUACACAGACUCGGAUGAAUCAGCCGUCAGUUCCAACACUAAUGAAGAUGUUCCCUCAUCCACCAUACAG
ensembl:lncRNA